rnacentral:rRNA from 1 species
AUGACAAGGCUGAGAGGAGAGAGCACGCUUCCAUGGAUGUGCAUUGGGGACUUCAACGAAAUUUUGCGGCCCGAGGAACAAUUUGGUCCAAAUGACCGUGACAGUGCACAGAUUGGUGCUUUCAGAGAGGCGGUGGAUAUUUGUGGACUGGCUGAUUUGGGUUACCGUGGUUUGGAUUGGACUUGGGAGAAGAAAGUGUCAGGAGGUUAUUUUUGCAAGGUAAGGUUGGACAGAGCUUUGGGUACGGCUGAAUGGUCGGCCCUCUUUCCGUUUGCCUCGGUGGAACACCUAACAGCGGCUAAAUCUGACCUCUGCCCUAUCUUACUCCAAACAGAUCUUGUGGACUCAAGUGUGAGAACAAAGCAGCAACAGUUUGGGUAUGAAUGCAUGUGGGAGCGGGAUCCAAGUUUUGAGGAUGUGGUCACUGAAGCUUGGAACACUUCUGGAUAG